rnacentral:rRNA from 1 species
UGGGGAAUAUUGCACAAUGGGCGAAAGCCUGAUGCAGCAACGCCGCGCGAGUGAUGAAGGUCUUCGGAUUGUAAAGCUCUGUCUUUUGGGACGAUAAUGACGGUACCAAAGGAGGAAGCCACGGCUAACUACGUGCCAGCAGCCGCGGUAAUACGUAGGUGGCGAGCGUUGUCCGGAUUUACUGGGCGUAAAGGGUGCGUAGGCGGAUGUUUAAGUGAGAUGUGAAAUACCCGGGCUUAACUUGGGUGCUGCAUUUCAAACUGGAUAUCUGGAGUGCAGGAGAGGAGAAUGGAAUUCCUAGUGUAGCGGUGAAAUGCGUAGAGAUUAGGAAGAACACCAGUGGCGAAGGCGAUUCUCUGGACUGUAACUGACGCUGAGGCACGAAAGCGUGAGUAGCAAACAGGAUUAGAUACCCUGGUAGUCCACGCCGUAAACGAUGAGUACUAGGUGUAGGAGGGUUUCCGCCCUUCAGUGCUGCAGCUAACG